GUUUCUUUGUAUUCUGUAUCAAAUAGGUACUUUUUCUCCAUACAUGCGUUUAUAUUGCCUACUACUUCGGAACCUCAUGUGUUGCUAAAUAAUAAACCUUUGAAA